UAUUUGAGUGUCCACUAGAUGAGUAUC
rnacentral:piRNA from 1 species